AUAAAGAAAGGUGUUCCGUGCAUUAUGUGCCUUGCUCACAACCCAACAAAACACAGACCUCGUCAAAGAAAGUCUGCGUAUUUUGGAGAGUGUCAUUUCAAGAUCCAAAGAGGAGCCACUGGAAGAAACUCCCCAAUCUGAAGACUAGGAAAUGUGUGAAAGUGAAGACAGAACACAUGCAACGACCAUCAGUGGCAAAUCACCAUUCUAUGCCUUUUUUCAGCAGAUUAUGAAAGAGGUGAAGGAAGAAAUGGUUGAUGAUGACACAGGGUUGGCAACAGAAGACAACCCAUACUUUUGUCCAGGCAUCCUCACAGUCCUCUUUGGUAUACCUUGCUAUCUUUCCUCUUUGGAGUGUUGGGAGACCUGAUGGAUGAAUGUCAUGAACAGUACAUGGAGACAACAAAGAAACAACCAAAAACAAGAGAUGCCAACUGUCACAUUGAAAGGUGGUUUGGAAUUGUCAAACAUUCCAUAAUGCAUAAAGAAAAAAAAGUCAAACCAGGGACCUUCAUAAGAAAAAUGCACAAGUCCCUACAAGCGAGGUAUACAGAGCAUAUCAUCAAGCAUGAACUUCCUCAAAAGCUUUUGCGGCAACCUGAGGCACCUUUGAACCUUGAUCAGUCUCAAGAAACUUGGAAGAAGGAAGAACGUUUCCCAUCCACCAAAUCCAAAUUCUUUUCUGUUCCACAUAAAAUACCUGCUCCCCAAAAAGAGGAUCAAGAAGGAUGUGGAAGUGGAAACUUCAAGUUCUGAUGCAUGUCAGCCUCCUGCAGAUGGACUCCAUGUAGAUGAACAGAUCCAGAUGCUAUUGAAGAAGAAGGAACAUACAGAGCUGCUAGUAGCCAUUGUUCAGUCUCCUAGCCAGGAUCUCGAGUUCCUUACAUCACAAGGAAUUCAAUGCACUGAGGCCACAUGAAUGGUUAUUUGGAGAGACUAUUGAGUGCUAUUUCAGAACUGUACUUAAUAAGGAGGAUGCAAAUCUCUACCAGCUAAGCCAUUUCACCACAGGUGUCAUUUUAAAUGGCACAAGAGAGCAGAUGGAACAGCAAGGAUUUUGAAAAGUCAACUUAGAGCAAUAUGAUGGGGUCAUCACUUUUGUCAAUAUCACUAAAAAUCACUGGAGGUUUGUGUUUGUAUAUGCUCAGACUGACACCCUUUUCGUGCUUGACUCUCUGACUGGUACAAAUGAAAUGAAACUAAAAGGCAUGCCAAAAAUUCGGGUAUGAUAGUCUGUUUUAAAAAAAGAUAUUUAGCAUGUGUAGAUCCAAAACAGUAAUACUUUUUUUACUAGCAAGCGCAUACCCUUUCUGCUCUUUGUUCAUGUAUGAUUAUAUUUGUGGAGUGAGACAUGCUUAUAUUAUGCUGUAUUAUAAUCAAUUUUACUAUAAUAAAAUCUUCUUCAAAGGCAACUAUACAUUAGUGCUUUACUUUCUUAUUAUUUUGAACAUUAUUUUGUUUGUUUUUAUAAAAAAAAUCAUAAUCAU